CCCAGACAGCCAGGAUGUUGGCUUAGAAGCAGCCAUCAUUUAAAGAAAGCGUAAUAGCUCACUGGUCGAGUCGGCCUGCGCGGAAGAUGUAACGGGGCUAAACCAUGCACCGAAGCUGCGGCAGCGAACGUAUCACUUAAAGCGAUUCAGCGGGUUACGAUUGACGGAGCGAAGCGACGUCAAAGCGUAUACAAAGUCGAGUCGGUUUAAGGAUACGUUCGUUGGGUAGGGGAGCGUUCUGUAAGCCCGUGAAGGUGGCCUGUGAGGGUUGCUGGAGGUAUCAGAAGUGCGAAUGCUGACAUAAGUAACGAUAAAGCGGGUGAAAAGCCCGCUCGCCGGAAGACCAAGGGUUCCUGUCCAACGUUAAUCGGGGCAGGGUGAGUCGACCCCUAAGGCGAGGCCGAAAGGCGUAGUCGAUGGGAAACGGGUUAAUAUUCCCGUACUUGGUGUUACUGCGAAGGGGGGACGGAGAAGGCUAUGUUGGCCGGGCGACGGUUGUCCCGGUUUAAGCGUGUAGGUGUGUGUUCCAGGUAAAUCCGGUUCACUUUAACACUGAGGCGUGACGACGAGGCACUACGGUGCUGAAGCAACAAAUGCCCUGCUUCCAGGAAAAGCCUCUAAGCAUCAGGUAACACGAAAUCGUACCCCAAACCGACACAGGUGGUCAGGUAGAGAAUACCAAGGCGCUUGAGAGAACUCGGGUGAAGGAACUAGGCAAAAUGGUGCCGUAACUUCGGGAGAAGGCACGCUGACACGUAGGUGAAGUGAUUUACUCAUGGAGCUGAAGUCAGUCGAAGAUACCAGCUGGCUGCAACUGUUUAUUAAAAACACAGCACUGUGCAAACACGAAAGUGGACGUAUACGGUGUGACGCCUGCCCGGUGCCGGAAGGUUAAUUGAUGGGG
rnacentral:rRNA from 1 species